AUGGUCCAAUCUAGCGUAUCGGGCCAAACUGGGAAAAGGGCUAAGCAAGAAUCAGACUCGCCACCUCUGGUGAGUGCUGAGACAUCCAGCGCAGGAAGCAGGCAUCGAAUGAGUUUCUGCCAGGUGCCAACCCACCCCACGCUGUGGGGGAGAGAGCGGCACGGCCCGCGGGCGGGAGUCAGCAGGCAGCUGCCCCCGGUGGUGGCUGCAAUGGCACUCUGUGCACAGUGGCGCGGGAGCCAUGCAUCCCUCCAGCCCCACCUGGAAGCCCCGCCCUCGCAGGAAGCAGCCACCAUGCUGGGGAGAUGCAGACCUCUCUCCGGCCGGAAUAUCCUCCUCAGAAUCGGCCCCUCUAAGCAGGUAGGGUACGCGUCCGCUCCCCUGGAAGUCCGUGACCUCCAUGCUGGGGGCCGGGGGCACUGGUCGGGAGUGGGAGGCUGUCUCCCAGGGCCCAGCACUAGGCCUCCUGCACAACUGGCGUUCAGUAAAUACCCCUUCAAUGAGUGAAAUCAGGGUGCUUGGCAAACAUGUGGUCCUGAUGCUAAAAUGGUAAGUCCCCAUUGUGUAAAACUGGGGGAAAAUGACUCCUAAGGGAACUGUGUGUGCUCUAUAUAGAGAGAACAUUCAUGCUAAUAAUAGAGGCAGCCCAAAGAGCCAUGUCAGCUGCCACGGUUUCAGCCGUAACUUAGGAGUCACUCGCUAGCCCUUAACGUUCCCAGUGACUGUGAGUCUCAUGAGCAUACUGGACAGUACAGAGCACUGCUGGUGCCCAGGCAGCGCGAGGGAGCUGGAGCUCAAAGCAUUUACUCACCUGGCGCCAGGGCACAUAGCUGGCGAGGGGGCGCCGAAACCAAACUCAGGACCAACCCUCUCUCCUCACGCCGCCUCUGCGCUCGGCACAACCACAUGCUCACUCACAAAAUAAAGACUAAAUAGUAAGUCCGUUCAUUUCAAGUUGGCAUUCAGAAUAAGAAAGGGAAAAAACAUUUUAAAAGGUCUGCACAACAUAAUUCUUAGUCCAGAUUAAAGCAGAUCCACAGCCACGCCAGGCAGCUCCAUGACCUGACUGGUGAUUUCACACCUGUCCCGUCACACAGAGCCUCCUCCGGCCACCCCGCCUCUCACCCCCAACAGAUGAGGCUCGCACAGAGGACAGCGGAGGCUUGANNNNNNNNNNNNNNNNNGGGGGGGGGGGGAGGGGUGAGGGGAGGAAUACGUCAGUUUCCACCCUUCUCGGACCGCAGCGUGACAGUUACAGAAUUCAAGUCCAUUUGUAUCCCCUGCUGAAUCCCCCAUAACUCAGCAGACGAUCAUUACCAUGCCAUAAUGAUAUCACACGGCCAUAAAUACAUAUGCUAAGAGUCGAACAAGACAUUCAUAUUUAAACAGAGCUGGAAAUAAUUUCAACUCUGGCGAUUUUCUAUUGCUCAUUCUAUUACUUUUCGGUGGAUGUUUAAAAUGUUGAAACCAAGAAUGAGGGGGGUGGGUGUGUGUCACAGCUUCUGGUUAAGCAAGGAAAGGAAUUUGGGGAUCAAGUUACAUCUGAUAAAUAUUUUGUUUGAGGAAAAGUUAGGUUAAUAAUAGAUGAGGAGCUCCUUGAUAUGUCAGUUUCAGAGGAAAUCAUUCAUGCUGUUAUAAAUGCAGGCCAAGAUAGCUGCUGCAUAUUUGAAGGACAGUUGCCCCGAAUAAGAAACGUCAUGUACGGCUUUUUCAUAAAACUUAAAAAAAAAAUACAUAUGGCAAACAAAUAACAUAGCUCAAACUUAGA
rnacentral:lncRNA from 1 species